GAUGAACGCUGGCGGUGUGCCUAACACAUGCAAGUCGAACGAGCCUUCGGGCUAGUGGCGGACGGGUGAGUAACACGUUAGUACCUGCCCUUUAGUGGGGAAUAACUCGGCGAAAGUCGAGCUAAUACCGCAUGUGACCCGUUUACGGUUAAAGCCUUCGGGCGCUAAAGGAGGGGCUUGCGUCUGAUUAGCUAGUUGGUAGGGUAAUGGCCUACCAAGGC
rnacentral:rRNA from 1 species